rnacentral:tRNA from 1 species
AGCCCCGUGGUGGAAACCACGUCAGAUUGCAAAUCUGAAGACGCAGACUAACUCCUGCCGGGGCUU